rnacentral:rRNA from 1 species
UACGUAGGGGGCAAGCGUUGUCUGGAAUCAUUGGGCGUAAAGAGCGUGUAGGCGGCCAGAUAAGUCCGCUGUGAAAACUCGAGGCUUAACCUCGAGAUGUCAUCGGAAACCAUUUGGCUAGAGUCCGGAAGAGGAGAGUGGAAUUCCUGGUGUAGCGGUGAAAUGCGCAGAUAUCAGGAAGAACACCAAUGGCGAAAGCAGCUCUCUGGGACGGUACUGACGCUGAGACGCGAAAGCGUGGGGAGCGAACAGG